rnacentral:rRNA from 1 species
UAGCGUAGGCAGCAAGCGUUGUUCGGAGUUACUGGGCGUAAAGGGUGCGUAGGCGGUCCUAUAAGUAUGGUGUGAAAUCUCCCGGCUUAACUGGGAGGGUGCGCUAUAGACUGUGGGACUAGAGUGUGGGAGAGGAAAGUGGAAGUUCCUGGUGUAGCGGUGAAAUGCGUAGAUAUCAGGAGGAACACCGGUGGUGUAAACGGCUUUCUGGACCGAUAAACUGACGCUGGAGGCACGAAAGCGUGGGUAGCAAACAGG